GAUGAACGCUAGCUACAGGCUUAACACAUGCAAGUCGAGGGGAAACGAUAUUGGAAGCUUGCUUCCGAUAGGCGUCGACCGGCGCACGGGUGAGUAACGCGUAUCCAACCUGCCCAUCACUUGGGAAUAACCUUGCGAAAGUAAGACUAAUGCCCAAUGACAUUUAUAGAAGGCAUCUGAAAUGAAUUAAAGAUUUAUCGGUGAUGGAUGGGGAUGCGUCUGAUUAGCUUGUUGGCGGGGUAACGGCCCACCAAGGCGACGAUCAGUAGGGGUUCUGAGAGGAAGGUCCCCCACAUUGGAACUGAGACACGGUCCAAACUCCUACGGGAGGCAGCAGUGAGGAAUAUUGGUCAAUGGGCGAGAGCCUGAACCAGCCAAGUAGCGUGCAGGAAGACGGCCCUAUGGGUUGUAAACUGCUUUUAUAGGGGAAUAAAGUGAGCCACGUGUGGUUUUUUGCAUGUACCCUAUGAAUAAGGACCGGCUAAUUCCGUG
rnacentral:rRNA from 1 species